UGGCAGUGAUGAAAAAAAGGCCGGUCCUACAGCUGCUUUGGUUCAAUCCAAUUGGUAGUAGAAUGGUGCGAAAUAAUCAUGAGGUAUUUUCUGAGCCAG
rnacentral:snoRNA from 1 species